UACGUAGGGUGCAAGCGUUAAUCGGAAUUACUGGGCGUAAAGCGUGCGCAGGCGGUUUUGUAAGUCUGUCGUGAAAGCCCCGGGCUCAACCUGGGAAUUGCGAUGGAGACUGCAAGGCUUGAAUCUGGCAGAGGGGGGUAGAAUUCCACGUGUAGCAGUGAAAUGCGUAGAUAUCUGGAGGAAUACCGGUGGCGAAGGCGGCAUCCUGGACCGACAUUGACGCUGAUGAGCGAAAGCUAGGGGAGCAAACGGG
rnacentral:rRNA from 1 species